rnacentral:rRNA from 1 species
UACAGAGGUCUCAAGCGUUGUUCGGAUUCAUUGGGCGUAAAGGGCGCGUAGGCGGCGGGGUAAGUCGGGUGUGAAAUCUCAGAGCUCAACUCUGAAACUGCACUCGAUACUGCUCUGCUUGAGGACUGGAGAGGAGACUGGAAUUCACGGUGUAGCAGUGAAAUGCGUAGAUAUCGUGAGGAAGACCAGUGGCGAAGGCGGGUCUCUGGGCAUUAACUGACGCUGAGGAGCGAAAGCAUGGGGAGCGAACAGG